rnacentral:rRNA from 1 species
ACGACUGCUAAGACUGGAUAGGAAACAGAAAGGCAUCUUUUUGUUUUUAAAAGACCUUCUUCGGAGGGUAUGCUUAAAGAGGGGCUUGCGCCACAUUAGUUAGUUGGUGAGGUAAAGGCUUACCAAGAUUAUGAUGUGUAGCUGGACUGAGAGGUUGAACAGCCACAUUGGGACUGAGACACGGCCCAAACUCCUACGGGAGGCGGCAGUAGGGAAUUUUCGGCAAUGGAGGAAACUCUGACCGAGCGACGCCGCGUGAACGAUGAAGUAUUUCGGUAUGUAAAGUUCUUUUAUUGAAGAAGAAAAAAUAGUGGAAAAACUAUCUUGACGUUAUUCAAUGAAUAAGCCCCGGCUAACUAUGUGCCAGCAGCCGCGGUAAGACAUAGGGGGCGAGCGUUAUCCGGAAUUAUUGGGCGUAAAGGGUGCGUAGGCGGUUAGAUAAGUCUAUAAUUUAAUUUCAGUGCUUAACGCUGUCUUGUUAUAGAAACUGUCUUGACUAGAGUGAGAUAGAGGCAAGCGGAAUUCCAUGUGUAGCGGUAAAAUGUGUAAAUAUAUGGAGGAACACCAGAAGCGUAGGCGGCUUGCUGGGUCUUUACUGACGCUGAGGCACGAAAGCGUGGGGAGCAAACAGGAUUAGAUACCCUGGUAGUCCACGCUGUAAACGAUGAGUACUAAGUGUCGGGGUAACUCGGUACUGAAGUUAACACAUUAAGUACUCCGCCUGAGUAGUACGUACGCAAGUAUGAAACUUAAAGGAAUUGACGGGACUCCGCACAAGCGGUGGAUCAUGUUGUUUAAUUCGAAGAUACACGAAAAACCUUACCAGGUCUUGACAUACUCUGCAAAGCUAUAGAAAUAUAGUGGAGGUUAUCAGGGAUACAGGUGGUGCAUGGUUGUCGUCAGUUCGUGUCGUGAGAUGUUAGGUUAAGUCCUAAAACGAACGCAACCCCUGUCGCUAGUUGCCAGCACGUAAUGGUGGGGACUUUAGCGAGACUGCCAAUUAAACAUUGGAGGAAGGUGGGGAUAACGCCAAAUCAUCAUGCCCCUUAUGAUCUGGGCUACAAACGUGAUACAAUGGCUAUUACAAAGAGUAGCUGAAACGCGAGUUUUUAGCCAAUCUCAAAAAGAUAGUCUCAGUACGGAUUGAAGUCUGCAACUCGACUUCAUGAAGCUGGAAUCGCUAGUAAUCGCGAAUCAGCAUGUCGCGGUGAAUACGUUCGCGGGGUUUGUACACACCGCCCGUCA